rnacentral:lncRNA from 1 species
GAGGUUUGGGAACCAGUUGAGAGGUCAAAAAUUUGGGGUCUGGAAAAGGGGAUUUUGGGUUCGAAAAUUGGGGUUGGAAAUUUUGGAUUCAGAAAAAAUGAAGGAAGAAAGAAAAAAGGGAAUAUUUUUCUUUCUGGUUCGAAAAAACUGAGAGAGAAGGAAGAAGGAAAAGAAAGAAAUUUUCGGAGAAAAAUUAAGUCUUUAGUAGAAAUCCUUUUCUUGUUUUGAAAGUCCGUCAGCUAAAUUAGAGUCUUGUGUUGACGGUAAAGAAGUUUCCGGUGGUCGUGAUCUCCGUAUCAUCUCGGCAUCCCGUUUUGCUGCCCCUAAAUAGGUAAUAUCCUAUCCCUUUCAAUUUUCAGUAUUUUCUUCUUCUCGUUGAUUUCUUAGUGUGUUAGCUGUAUCUUCAUUAUCGUUGUAGAAAUUCUAGAUAUUAUUUGCUGGGAAUUAUUGCUGUUGAGGCUAUGAAAAGUCAUAGGUUUUUGAGAUAAAGGCAUCUAUGUUUACCGUUGUUUCUGUUCCAUAGCUUAGCUUUUUCCUUUCGCAAAAAUUUGUUACAAGAUUGUGGAUGGUCGUUAGUCUUCAUGUCUGAAUAUUACUGCAAUUAGGCAUUGCCUUUGCUCUAAUCAAAUGCCUUCUUGUGUUGUCCAUUCCCAUCCAUUUUAGUUUAAGUAUUGUUCCUGUCUUAAGCUGCGCAAAUUAUUUUGAUCUAAGUUUGGUUUAUUAUAAAGCUCAGAUUUUUUUUUCAUCUAAGAAUUCUUGACUUCACGGAUUUGCUGUUUUAGCUUUAAUUGUUACCCGAUUCAAUUUAACUAAGGUUUUAGGUUAUGUCGUUCAUUGCCAUGUUAUGUUUCUUUUUCUGAAAUUUGUCUUCUGGUUCGCUGUUUGGAUAUGGUUUCACUGUUUUACCUUGAAUUGUUGAUCAAUAUAACUUGACCAAGACUUUAGGUCCUUUAGUUCAUUGUCAAGCUACGCCUCUUUCCGUCAUCUUCUUUCUAAUUCAUUAUUUUGGUAUAAAUAAUCUUUUUGAGUCUGUUGAUACUUUAUUUCUCCUGUGUAAAGCUUCAAACUAUAAGUCUUGAUUAAUAUUUUAUUAGGUAAAAUUUUGAAGUGCAGAUUUCUGUCUCAAUUUUCUAUAUGGUUAAAUUGAUAUGUUAUCCCCCUUCAAAUUCUAGUUUAAUGUUUCUUUCCUCCACCGGUUGUUUCCCUAAUGAUUGUGAUAUGUGAUUAUUGAAUCUCAGUUGCGGCUUCCAUCUUAAUAGUGGCUGCUAGCAUCAAUUUAACUGUUUCCUUUCGCUCGUGUUAGUCUAAACUGUUUUAUCUUUAGUUCUUUAUUUUGACCCCUUUGUCUGUUGCUUUGUAUUGGCUUAGUCAUACUGUUGUUGAGAACACUGUUUCAGCCUAACUUACCUAUUCGUAGUAUUGUUAAUUAUUCCAACCUAAUCUUUUAAAACUAGUAGUUUGGUUACUUAAAUGAAUCUCAUCCGUUAUUUCUCUAGUUCAUAAGGAACAAAGACUAUCGAAUCUUGUUUGAGAAGUAGUAACCCAUCUAAAGUUGAAUGUUGCCUUUUAUGUUGUGCUUAUGCUUGGUAUCUCAUUUCUCUUAUUUGCUUAAUUAGAAGUUUAGUAUGAUGGCUAGAAGAGUCCAAUAUUAAUUCAAUAUACUGAGUCCUUUUCUUGAUAACAUACCACCAAGAACUUUGCUAACAAGUGGACUGAUGGUCACUUUGGAUGGUGAUUGAGUGAUUCUUUCCUUAUAAACCCCAUGGUCAACGUAUGUGGUUGCUUAUAUACAUUAAGUUUCUAGGAUGUUUCAAUUAGAUUGAAAUGUGUACAUUGUAUCUUCGCAUGUCCAAAUAAUUAUUUCAAGUCAACUAGAAAGAGGUUACAUGUUUUGUCUUCAGGUUCUUUAAUCUACCCCUUUGCUAUGUUUGAGAAAUAUUUGGACUAGCUGAAAUGUAAGAUUCAUUUGCAUAUAAUGCUUCUUUGCUUCUUUAAAAAAUAAAAUCCGCAUUAGUUCCCUUUUAAUUUUUCCUCUCCUUGAUUGAUCAUAUGCUAGUAGGCUUCCUUCACUUUAUUUUACUUUCUUCCCCCCUUCUUUCUUUGCUUGAUUAUAUACUAAUGUUUUUUAUUUUCCCUCAUUUGCAUGGAAAUCAUUUGAGUCCUACAUGGACUCUUCCCUUUGUGCAUAUUCAUCAUGGGCCACUGAGGCCUUCUAUGUCUAUUGAGUCAAGCCCGAAAGAGAAUCCAUCGUAGUGCAUGGAUAUGAGGAGAUCAAAGAAGAAGAAGGGGUUGAAAGCCCACAUUUGAAGCGGCUAAGAGACAAAAGCCUCAUCUGUUAUUUUAUUUUAGUUAAUUAUUGUUGUCCUUGUUUCCUUUGCGAACCUAGUUAAAUCCCUAACUAAGUCGCUAAAAAAUUGAUUUUUCCAAAAACUUUUCCCUAAUUAACUACUUUUUCCAACAAAUCAAUUUUCUUAGUUAGUCAAAAGAAUUAUUUUUAAACAGAUCGGAUAACCGCAAGUUAGCGGACAUUUUAGGUUCCUAACACCUUCCUAAAACGUUAAUAGGAACUGCUUACUCAGAAUCUUCAAACUUAAAUGAUUUUCCUGUUUUGAAUCGUCUAAGUACUUUUAAAAGGUUUCUUAAUUUCUUUUCAAAAUUAAGUGGGGACUCUCUUCAAAAUUUCCGCAAAACAGAAAUGGCGACUCUGCUGGGGAUUUUUAACUAGGUUCUAACCAAAUGUUUGAUUUCGUCUUUUGAUUAACUGUUUAUAUAUUUAUAUGUUUCGAUUCUAUAAAGUUUAACUAUCACACUUAUGGAAUAUUCCUGCAUUAUUUAAACUGUUUUGGGGUUUCGUGGAUGUCCCGGCCCCUAUUGUUUAAUUCCAAUAAUGUGUUGGAAAUAUGAACGACUUAUUAGCACGUAAGUCGUCUGAUGGUUGUUCGUAUUUACAAACUCAAGCUGUCUACUUGAUAACCAUUGUUCAAACCCACUCUAGAUCCUAGGAUAGAACGAAAUCAAAACCCUAUUUUAGGCAUGAGCCUAGGACGACCUAAUACCCGAGCGGGGUAUUGGGCCCAUUAGAAAACUUGCCUUGCAUCUAUUGACCCCGAGUCAAUUAUAGACGAAUCAUAUUUAUGUGUUGAAGAAAUAUAUAUUUGUUUAAUCCAAUCCAUUAUCCUUUGGGGGGACGGGAGAAAACUUGCUUUACUUUCGUAUAAGGAUACCUCAAUUGUACACCAAUUGACGAAGGAAUCGAAACAAGUCAAGCAAGAAAUUGAUCGAUUUGGACAGAUGCAUGGCAUCUAUGGCACAGUUAUACGGCAACCACUUGGUCAUUAAUGGAUGUCGCCAAUAAUGAGGAGUGGACAAAGCUGAGAGGGCGAAGGCUGAUAGAAGAAGCAUUCAGGAAUUAGUAUUUUUCUAUCCCCUGUGUGGGACAUCAUUCCUGUUCUCAUGUUAUUUUUGUUUCCCCAGAGGUUGUAUCCCCUUUGUGCGACUUUUGUAGGAAUUUAUGUCGUUUGUGUAUAUUGGAGGAUAAUGGAUUGGCUUUAAAAAGGGCAUAUAUUUUCUUCAAAGUUUGUCAGGCCUAAACCCUUGGCUCAAAAGGGUCACCCCAGUUAGGAUACAACAACAACAACAACAAACCCAGUAUAUUCCCACAUAGUAGGGUCUGGGAAGGGUAGAGUGUACGUAGUCCAUACCACUACCUCUAAAGAAGCCGAGAGGCUGUUUUCGAUAGACCUUCGACUUAAGUCAAAAGAUAGUAUGAAAGAG